GCUCCUGUAGUCUAGUGGUUAUGAUGUCUCCUUUACACGGAGAAGGUCCUCAGUUCAAACCUGAGCGGGAGCA